CUUCGGGUAUUGAGGAUGGCGGACGGGUGAGUAACGCGUAAGGAACUUGCCUCUUGGUCUGGGACAACUGUUGGAAACGACAGCUAAUACCGGAUAUUAUGAGAUUCUCGCAUGGGAAACUUAUGAAAGCUAUAUGCGCCAAGAGAGAGCCUUGCGUUCCAUUAGCUAGUUGGUGGGGUAACGGCCCACCAAGGCGACGAUGGAUAGCCGGCCUGAGAGGGUGAACGGCCACAAGGGGACUGAGACACGGCCCUUACUCCUACGGGAGGCAGCAGUGGGGAAUAUUGGACAAUGGGCCACAAGCCUGAUCCAGCAAUUCUGUGUGCACGAUGAAGGUCUUCGGAUUGUAAAGUGCUUUCAGUUGGGAAGAAGAAAGUGACGGUACCAACAGAAGAAGCGACGGCUAAAUACGUGCCAGCAGCCGCGGUAAUACGUAUGUCGCAAGCGUUAUCCGGAUUUAUUGGGCGUAAAGCGCGUCUAGGCGGAAAAAUAAGUCUGAUGUUAAAAUGCGGGGCUCAACUCCGUAUUGCGUUGGAAACUGUUUUUCUAGAGUACUGGAGAGGUGGGCGGAACUACAAGUGUAGAGGUGAAAUUCGUAGAUAUUUGUAGGAAUGCCGAUGGAGAAGUCAGCUCACUGGACAGAUACUGACGCUAAAGCGCGAAAGCGUGGGGAGCAAACAGGAUUAGAUACCCUG
rnacentral:rRNA from 1 species